CAUCUUAGGCCAGGCCUUCGAGGCCUAACUGUUCCUCAGACCGUAAACCACAGCGCCGGGCACUUGCGGGGCGAUAAGGAGUCCAAGACACGACCAGGAUGCGAUCCUUAGGGGCCAGCCCUGGAGCCACCUGUGAAUGACGAUUAGCGCCAAGUCCAGGCGUUUUGUGUCCCUAAGGCCCCUAUGUUAGAUACUAAAGAAGGCUUCCCCACAAUCCAUAUGCAUCUGCCUUGACUGGUGGUUUCUAUCAACCUACAAAGACUGUGACUUAUUGGUGAGGGCAGCUGGACACCUCUGAGAGCAACUUAGAGAAAUCCAUCUUGGGCACACUCUGUAAAGGAGCUCCUUCUCUGCAAAUAGCACCCCAGAUAAGUGCACAAAAGCAAGACACCCUCGUGGACCUACUUCCUCCCGCUUUCAACACCCGCUGCCUGAAGUGUGUAGAAUUUGACAGCAGUAUCGAGAGCUGAUGAGGAGGAGAAGAUGGAAAGGAGUCUAGCGACUUAAAAAUCUCAUAGCAUUCUCUGUGAGGUGACUUUUUCUGUUGGUGGCUCAAUUUAUCUAAGAUUUAAAGAAGAUACUAAGGCCUGUGAUAGUAUCAUCAUGUUAUAUCUGAGCUUAUUGAAAUGUUUCCUCCCUUUCCUUAUUCUUUAUAUCACAGUUCGCUUUUUGUAUUCUUAAGUCGACGCAUUUGUUUCCUAUUAGUACUUGAAACACCAUAUGGCCACCAUAAGGCCUAACAGAAUGACUUCUAACGAGGAGGGGGAAGGCCCGUGUUCCCACCUUCCUAUGAAAUUUUGGCCUCUUGACAAAACUACCCCCAUAGUUUUAAAGAGUAUGUAAGCUUUUAUUAAUUUUGGUAAGAGCAUUGCUAUAUCUUUUUGAUGUCAUUUUUAUUGCUAAGAGGUGCUAGGCAUUUAUUAGCCUGUCAACUUAAGAUUUGUCUAAAUCAGAUCUAUCCAAACAUAAUAUAAAUUAGAAACCUGUACUUGUAUUUUCUUAUUUAGAAAAAAUACACUUAAAUUUUACUAUUGAAUUGAGAGUCUUUUAUAAUGAGUACAUAAAGUGAAUAUUAAAUAAUCAGUAGAGUAUGUUAAAGUUAACAUUUCUGUUUUUAUUUUUAGUGACUUAUUUUAUGGUAUUGUAAUUAUGGCCUGUCAAACUCCCUGACGUAUUCUGAACAGUUUCCGGAGUCAGUUAUGCUUAUUUGCUGCUGCUCUUGUUUUCCCUGUAGCUCAGUUAAGAAAAACGUAGUUAAGCCCUGGCUGGUGUGGCUCAUUUGGUUGAGUGUUGUGCCAUGCACCGAGAGGCCGACAGUUCUAUUCCAGGUUAGGGCACAUACCUGGGUUGUGGGCUCAAUCCCCAGUAGGGGGUGUAGGAGGUAGCCAAUCGAUGUUUCUCUCAUCAGUGUUUCUCUCUCCCUCCCUCUCUCUCUAAAACAAAUAAAAACAUUUAAAAAAAACGAGUACUGACUCCAAGGCCAGACUGUCUGGGUUUGAAGCCCAGCUCUGCCACUUAGCUGUGGGACAUUGGACACGUGACUUCCCUCUGUGUGUCAGUUUCCGGAGGACGUCAAUAGUACCUGUCCCCUGAAGUUAUUUAAGGAUUAAGUGCGUUAAUAUAUGUGAAGUGCUUAAAACAGUGCUUGGCACUUAGCGCCAUGUAAGUGCUGUACUUGCCAAUACCAAUAAUGGAACGAGGCCCACGUGAAUGCUUUCACUUGCAUGCUGUCUCCUUCGGCGGCCGUAGCCACAUGCUUUCUUUGGCCACAUGCACACGAGAGUAGUUUCUUCAGUUCCCAGGGCACGGCUGGGUUAGGGUUGUCUCCAGAGCACAUACCUCUCUGCAUCCAUUGUCACCUCAGUGGUUUUAAAGCGUUCCUCAUCUAGCCUCCAUCAGACUACCUGUAUCUUACACAAUGGAUUUGUGCUGUAAACGGAUCCACUCUCCCAGGGCCAAAGACUUAGGUUGUACAGAAAACACUGUACAAAAUAACACAUCAAUUUAAUUUAAAUGUGAUACUAAAAUGUUCAUCAACUUGGAGGUUUUUUCAGGCCAUCUGUGAUGGGACAUUUGGAAUCCAGUCAAGGUGUUACCUCACUUAGGGAACAAUGGACCAGGUUUUCAGUACUCCCCACACACUCUCCAUUUCAGGGGCCCAGUGAUGCUUACAGGAACUUUCCGCAGUUUUACCAGUUCUCGGACCCUUAGGGUAAGGGAACAGUAAUAGAAAGAAGGAACCAGGGACCCUUAGGGCUAGUUAUAUCAGCAUUGUAGCAUUCAUGACUCCUUAGUUCUUGGGGCCAGGACAGCUCACAGGUGGGGGACCUUUCUCAGGGAAGAGUGGGUGAAGUCCUUUCCAGUGAGUGGCUCCCCAGCCCUGGAGCAUUUGCUUACCUAAGUGCCCAUAGCACUGGCGUGGGUCCCUGUGGAUGUUCCUAUCUCUGUGUUAGGGCAGUACCGUUAUUUAGGAGGUGCAUUCUGGCCUUAACCACAGCUGCUCUUUGGCUAAAAGCCAGUUACAGGAUCAAAGCCUGCCUUAAAGGUUCAGACACACUCAGAAAUUCACUAGACACUUAUUUUAUUUGCUUUCUUUUUCUGCCAGAGAGAAUGUUAAACCAGGAUCACUUCAGAAGAUUUGGAAGCCAAAUCUCUAUAGCGCUUUAUCAGAAUUGUCCAAAUAUUUGCCAAGCACCAAUUUUAGCUUUAUUUGGCCUCGUUUUUUAAAAGUAAUUUUUGGCAACUUCCACUGGUAUGGUUAUUGUUACAAAAUUAUAUCAUUUCUGGGUUAUGUUUGAUGUCAAAACAAUGUGUAUGUCCUUACAAAAAUGAAUUUACAACUAGUAGUAAUUACCUAAAGCUCUUCAAAACAGAAAAGAUUUUCAACAGAUUUUAAGAUAUUUAAGAUGUAUGUAUGUUUAUGUAUAUAUGUAUAUAUAUACCAUACACACACUUGUAUAAUUUAGUAUUCUUAAUCUACUCAUCUGCUCUAAUAUUCCCCUUGAAGUUAAAAGUAUUCUUCUCAAACUUAAAAAUGAAGAAUCUUUGAUAAGCCACUAAGUCUGAAUUCUAUGCCUGAAUUUCUCUAGGAAUAUGUAUGGGGGGAGAAGGUAGCCAGUGGGGUUAAUAUGAAUAUGGAAAUAGUAGAUUACAGGUCAGUGUCGCCUGAGGUUGUUAUGAGGAUUCCACAACAUAAAUUUACGAAGUUUAGGAAAAUGUACGGUGUUUGAAGCGCAGUUACUAUGUUGUUCACCAGCAGAUACUCUGCAGAAAAUUUUUGACUGUGGCGUUAAUAAGCCAUUAAGAUCAGUGCUGAACUUCACUCCUGCUUGUGGGAUUUAACCAUCACCAGUCAGUUCCUUUCAUUUUUGUCAGAAAUAGACGCUGAAUAUUUGACAUGCCCUACUACACAACAGCUUGAUGGCUUAGCAGUGGUAAAGUUUUCUUGUAAUUUUGUGAGUUCAGGGCUGAUACUGAAAUUUUUCUGAAUGAGAAGAAUCAUUUUCAACUACUAUUAUUGAACAAUGAAUGGCUUUGGAAAUUAGCUUUUGCUGCAGAAUUCAUAAUGUUUUUAGUGAAUUCACUCCAAAAUCACAAGGCAAAUAAAUCAUCACUUAUACACAAACUUUGUAUUGCAGUAAAGUCACUUCAACAGCUAAUGUUUGACACGGCAGUUGUCAAGCUGCCUAAUACACUGUGCUGUCAAGAGUCACACCAAAGGUGAGAUCUCGCUUGUACACAGAUUUACCACGGAGGUGACUUCUGAACACAAACUCAGUCCCAGCAGCAAGCUUGCAUCUUGGUAUGAACACAAAGGAAAUGUCCAUAUUUCAGAAUCCAGUUACCUGUGCAUCUGAGCAGUUUACACCAAGCCUUCAAAGAUGAAAUAUGUAAAAUGUUAUUACAGAAUUACCCUUAACAAGUGAACAUUUAUAAUUUUGAUGAAAGGAACCUCAACCUGGCAAAUAUUAUCCCUCCCAAGUCCAUUCUUAUUAGUAGACUGUAUUACAAAAAAAUUGUAGCCAAUUAUUAUAUUUUGAAUAUCAUCAAUAAAAAAUUUGUGGAAA